GGCUUGCGUGGCGGCAGGCCUAAACAUGCAGUCGAACGGUAACAGGAAGAAGCUUGCUUCUUUGCUGACGAGUGGCGGACGGGUGAGUAAUGUCUGGGAAACUGCCUGAUGGAGGGGGAUAACUACUGGAGACGGUAGCUAAUACCGCAUAACGUCGCAAGACCAAAGAGGGGGACCUUCGGGCCUCUUGCCAUCGGAUGUGCCCAGAUGGGAUUAGCUAGUAGGUGGGGUAACGGCUCACCUAGGCGACGAUCCCUAGCUGGUCUGAGAGGAUGACCAGCCACACUGGAACUGAGACACGGUCCAGACUCCUACGGGAGGCAGCAGUGGGGAAUAUUGCACAAUGGGCGCAAGCCUGAUGCAGCCAUGCCGCGUGUAUGAAGAAGGCCUUCGGGUUGUAAAGUACUUUCAGCGGGGAGGAAGGGAGUAAAGUUAAUACCUUUGCUCAUUGACGUUACCCGCAGAAGAAGCACCGGCUAACUCCGUGCCAGCAGCCGCGGUAAUGCGGAGGGUGCAAGCGUUAAUCGGAAUUACUGGGCGUAAAGCGCACGCAGGCGGUUUGUUAAGUCAGAUGUGAAAUCCCCGGGCUCAACCUGGGAACUGCAUCUGAUACUGGCAAGCUUGAGUCUCGUAGAGGGGGGUAGAAUUCCAGGUGUAGCGGUGAAAUGCGUAGAGAUCUGGAGGAAUACCGGUGGCGAAGGCGGCCCCCUGGACGAAGACUGACGCUCAGGUGCGAAAGCGUGGGGGAGCAAACAGGAUUAGAUACCCUGGUAGUCCACGCCGUAAACGAUGUCGACUUGGAGGUUGUGCCCUUGAGGCGUGCUUCCGGAGCUAACGCGUUAAGUCGACCGCCUGGGGGAGUACGGCCCGCAAGGUUAAAACUCAAAUGAAUUGACGGAAGGCGAA
rnacentral:rRNA from 1 species